UACGGAGGGUGCGAGCGUUGUCCGGAAUCACUGGGCGUAAAGGGCUCGUAGGCGGCCAACUAAGUCAGACGUGAAAUCCCUCGGCUUAACCGGGGAACUGCGUCUGAUACUGGAUGGCUUGAGUUUGGGAGAGGGAUGCGGAAUUCCAGGUGUAGCGGUGAAAUGCGUAGAUAUCUGGAGGAACACCGGUGGCGAAGGCGGCAUCCUGGACCAACACUGACGCUGAGUGAGCGAAAGCCAGGGGAGCAAACGGG
rnacentral:rRNA from 1 species